rnacentral:lncRNA from 1 species
UUAUUUUCUCUUCUACAAAUAGGUUUCGUGUGCUUUGUCAUUCAAUAGUCCGGUCAAAAUAUUUUGAUUUAGGAAUGAUUGCAAUUAUAUUGGUUCGUUCAUUAGUGCUAGCAAUUGAAGAUCCAAUAAAUCUUGAUUCUUAUCUUAAUAAUAUUAGCAGAAAGUGCGAUCCUAUUUUUACAGCCAUUUUUGGAAUUGAG